UUUCCGUAGGUGAACCUGCGGAAGGAUCAUUAAAGAGUUAGGGUCUUCUAGGCCCGACCUCCCAACCCUAUGUUUAUUGUACCUCUGUUGCUUCGGCGGACCCGUCUCACGACCGCCGGAGGUCCGCUGAAAGGCGUCCUCUGGCCAGCGUCCGUCGAUAGCCAACCCCAAAACUCUGAAUAAAUCAUGUCAUGUGUCUAAGUUUAUGAUAAAAUAAAGCAAAACUUUCAACAACGGAUCUCUUGGUUCUG
rnacentral:misc_RNA from 1 species